rnacentral:rRNA from 1 species
GGGGAAUCUUCCGCAAUGGGCGAAAGCCUGACGGAGCAAUACCGCGUGAGGGAGGAAGGUUCAAGUAAUUGUAAACCUCUUUUAUCAGGGAAGAAAAAAAUGACGGUACCUGAUGAAAAAGCAUCGGCUAACUCCGUGCCAGCAACCGCGGUAAUACGGAGGAUGCAAGCGUUAUCCGGAAUUAUUGGGCGUAAAGCGUCCGCAGGUGGUAGUACAAGUCUGCUGUCAAAGACCAGAGCUUAACUCUGGGCAGGCGGUGGAAACUGUAAUACUAGAGACCGGUAGGGGUAGAGGGAAUUCCCAGUGUAGCGGUGAAAUGCGUAGAGAUUGGGAAGAACAUCGGUGGCGAAAGCGUGCUACUGGGCUGUAUCUGACACUCAGGGACGAAAGCUAGGGGAGCGAAAGGGAUUAGAUACCCCAGUAGUC